AAACAUGUCUUUAUGAUUAUAAUUUAAAGUYUAAUCUGCUCCAUGAAAUAUUUAAAUAGCUGCAGAAUUUUAACUGUACAAAGGUAGCAUAAUCAAUAGUUUUUUAAUUAAAAGCUGGAAUGAAUGAUUUGAUAAGGUAUUUAUUGUCUCAAAUUUAAUAAAAUUAGAAUUUUUUUUUUAGUAAAAAAACUAAAUAAAUUUUAAAAGACGAGAAGACCCUAUAGAAUUUUAUAAUUUAAAAUAAUUAAAUUUAAAUUAAAAAAUAAUUUUUAUUAAUUAAUUAUUUAAUUGGGGUAAUUAUUAAAUUUAUAAAAUUUUAAUAAAUAAAAACCAAAAAUAAUUGAAUUUUUGAUCUUGAAAUAUAAAUUAAGAGAAUAAAUUACCUUAGGGAUAACAGCGUAAUUUUUUUUUCGAGAUCAUAUUUAAAAAAAAGUUUGCGACCUCGAUGUUGAAUUAAGAUAAAAUUUUAAUGGAAAAAUUAAAAAUUUUUGGUCUGUUCRACCAUUAAAAUCUUACGUGAUC
rnacentral:rRNA from 1 species